rnacentral:ncRNA from 2 species
CCUUAUCAUUUAGAGGAAGGAGAAGUCGUA